GACACUACACGUGCGAUAGAUAAUAAUUAUUAUCUAUCGCACGACUGAUUAUAAUCAGUCGUUUGGAUAUAUUUAUGGAGUUCAUAGUUCACUUACACUUGGCGGGAAAAAAGAACACAGCAGGAAAAGAUAAAUGAAAACAGCAAGUGUAACAGUAGGAAACAAACAAAAGGACAGAAAAGGGAGAUGCUGAAAGACCACACUAGGCUACAGUGAAGAAAACGAAGGAAAAGAAAAUUGAAAAGCAAAACAAGAGAUUAGGCAAAGUGUACGGAGAAACAGAGCUCGGUGCAGCGUGAAGUAAUAAGUGUGCAGAGUGAGGUAUUAAGUGUGCAUAGUGGAGCAUCUAAGUGUGCAGUGAAGUAUUAAGAGUGGAGAAUGAAGCAUCAAAGUGUGCAGAGUGAAGUAUUAAGUGUGCAGAGUGGAGCAUCUAAGUGUGCAGUGAAGUAUUAAGUGUGCAGAGUGGAGCAUCUAGGUGUGCAGUGAAGUAUUAAGCGUGGAGAAUGGAGCAUCUAGGUGUGCAGAGUGAAGUAUUAAGUGUGCAGAGUGGAGCAUCUAAGUGUGCAGAGUGAAGUAUUAAGUGUGCAGAGUGGAGCAUCUAGGUGUGCAGUGAAGUAUUAAGCGUGGAGAAUGGAGCAUCUAAGUGUGCAGAGUGAAGUAUUAAGUGUGCAGAGUGGAGCAUCUAGGUGUGCAGAGUGAAGUAUUAAGUGUGCAGAGUGGAGCAUCUAAGUGUGCAGUGAAGUAUUAAGUGUGCAGAGUGGAGCAUCUAAGUGUGCAGUGAAGUAUUAAGUGUGCAGAGUGGAGCAUCUAGGUGUGCAGAGUGAAGUAUUAAGUGUGCAGAGUGGAGCAUCUAGGUGUGCAGAGUGAAGUAUUAAGUGUGCAGAGUGGAGCAUCUAGGUGUGCAGUGAAGUAUUAAGUGUGCAGAGUGGAGCAUCUAAGUGUGCAGUGAAGUAUUAAGUGUGCAGAGUGGAGCAUCUAGGUGUGCAGAGUGAAGUAUUAAGUGUGCAGAGUGGAGCAUCUAGGUGUGCAGAGUGAAGUAUUAAGUGUGCAGAGUGGAGCAUCUAGGUGUGCAGAGUGAAGUAUUAAGUGUGCAGAGUGGAGCAUCUAGGUGUGCAGUGAAGUAUUAAGUGUGCAGAGUGGAGCAUCUAAGUGUGCAGUGAAGUAUUAAGUGUGCAGAGUGGAGCAUCUAAGUGUGCAGUGAAGUAUUAAGUGUGCAGAGUGGAGCAUCUAAGUGUGCAGUGAAGUAUUAAGUGUGCAGAGUGGAGCAUCUAGGUGUGCAGAGUGAAGUAUUAAGUGUGCAGAGUGGAGCAUCUAAGUGUGCAGUGAAGUAUUAAGUGUGCAGAGUGGAGCAUCUAAGUGUGCAGUGAAGUAUUAAGUGUGCAGAGUGGAGCAUCUAAGUGUGCAGUGAAGUAUUAAGUGUGCAGAGUGGAGCAUCUAGGUGUGCAGUGAAGUAUUAAGUGUGGAGAGUGGAGCAUCUAAGUGUGCAGUGAAGAAUCAAGUGUGGAGAGUAGAGCAUCUAAGUGUGCAAAGUGAAGUAUUAAGUGUGCAGAGUGGAGCAUCUAAGUGUGCAAAGUGAAGUAUUAAGUGUGCAGAGUGGAGCAUCUAAGUGUGCAUAGUGAAGUAUUAAGUGUGCAGUGGAGUAUAUAAGUGUGCA